AGCCUGAUGCAGCGACGCCGCGUGAGGGAUGACGGCCUUCGGGUUGUAAACCUCUUUCAGUAGGGACGAAGCGCAAGUGACGGUACCUACAGAAGAAGCACCGGCCAACUACGUGCCAGCAGCCGCGGUAAUACGUAGGGUGCGAGCGUUGUCCGGAUUUACUGGGCGUAAAGAGCUCGUAGGCGGUUUGUCGCGUCGUCUGUGAAAACCCGAGGCUUAACCUCGGGCCUGCAGGCGAUACGGGCAGACUUGAGUACUGUAGGGGAGACUGGAAUUCCUGGUGUAGCGGUGGAAUGCGCAGAUAUCAGGAGGAACACCGGUGGCGAAGGCGGGUCUCUGGGCAGUAACUGACGCUGAGGAGCGAAAGCGUGGGUAGCGAACAGG
rnacentral:rRNA from 1 species